rnacentral:tRNA from 1 species
GGCGCUAUAGUGUAGUGGUUAUCACUCGAGAUUUUGAUGACUUUCCAAUUCAGAAACUUCUCGGAACCCAGGUUCGAGCCCUGGUAGUGCCU